rnacentral:rRNA from 1 species
UACGUAGGGUGCAAGCGUUGUCCGGAAUUAUUGGGCGUAAAGAGCUUGUAGGCGGUUUGUCGCGUCUGCUGUGAAAUUUCGGGGCUCAACCCCCGAACUUGCAGUGGGUACGGGCAGACUAGAGUGUGGUAGGGGAGACUGGAAUUCCUGGUGUAGCGGUGAAAUGCGCAGAUAUCAGGAGGAACACCGGUGGCGAAGGCGGGGUCUCUGGGCCGAUACUGACGCUGAGGAGCGAAAGCGUGGGGGAGCGAACAGG